GGAAAGCGGGGACCACAGGGUAGGAGGGGUCUGCCUGAUGUAAAAGGUUAUCGGGGCGAACAGGGGACAACGGAACGCUUGGAAGAGAAAAUAAGAUUGUUAGAAGAAAAAAUGAAGAAAACCGUUGACAUUAUUCCAAAACUAUCCUACUGUGGAAUGGGAAUGAAGAGCAGGGAUAUUCCAGAUCAUGUGAUUACUGCAUCAUCUGUUUCUGAUUACCGACAUGCCGCUCAUCAUGGACGAAUGGAUGAAAAUGCUGUUUUCCAUACAGCUUCAAAUGGAUUUAGUGUAGGUGCCUGGUGCUCCGGA